CAUUAUCAAUUAACGUCUAUUUUCUGGUGUAUUUAAUACAUAAAGCGCACCAGAUUAUAAGGCACAUUUUUAGAGACACUAUAAAGAACUUCUAAUUCAGAGUGGUGGUGGGGGAGUAGCUAACUAAGUUUAAUUAAGCAAAGCUAAGUAAACAUAUCUGUAAUAAAAAAAAUACUUUAUUUUAAAGUCAAACAUGCGCUGGGUGUAAAUCUACACACGUCUCUGCUGAAAACUGUUCAUUUGUAUCACUGACCAGCCUAUGAAAAAGUUUACAACCCAAUGAAACAGCAGCUUAGCCCCGCCCACUGCACUGGAAAACACAGCAAACUGGACAUUAGAGCAUGGCAGCACUAGAGCCAAUGAAUCAAGUCUUACACUUCCCGGGCCCUGUCCACUCCUAAAAAUCAAGGUCCUGAACAUGGAAGCAGUUUCAUCCAGCCUAAAAGGUGAUACAUAGUAAAAAAGAACCAUAUAUGAUUAUUUAAAUAA
rnacentral:lncRNA from 1 species